CAAGCACAGACCAGGGAGACCUCUCUACUUUGCAGUUAUCUGAAGUGUCAGCAGAAUUUUCUAGAUUUGGAUAGCACUGGCAUUUUGGAACAGUCACGUGAUGGGAACUCCUUCCUCCUUUCCACACGACUCUCUGGCCUCCUUCCUGUCUCAGAUUCUCUCCUGGGUCCUGUGACACAGAUGCACCAGGCACCAUCCCGGCCCCGAGGAGCUCCAGGCUCACAGAUCAUAUCCAAAGGGUUCUGAUUUCAGAAGAGCUUGGGUACCGGCUGGUUCUGCCCCCAGAAAGAGCUCAUCAGUGAGGAGACAGCGUUUGGUGCAGGAGGAGGGAUGGGGCUAUUGGUUAUGGAGGCCUCCACUCCAUCUGUGCUCUGUGCUGGAGGAGGGGUCUCUGGCAGCUGCUGCUGAGGAUAUUUUUGGGGGGGGUUGGGAGAAGCGGAGGUGAUCCCCACCCCUACUCACCACCCUCAAAGAAUCAGAAGAGAACUAAAGAGCUAAAGAAAAGCUGGCUUAGCUGGAGCCCACUCUCUGUUCCCCUGAAUGGUUUUGAUGGUGGAAUUUAAAGGGGCAGUAACGUGUACUCACACCAUCUUGUUAUUUGUGUCACAUGUUGAAAACCUUGUUGGGUAAACUGGGGAGCAAAGCAAAAGGAAACCCUCAAUGAUUUCACCUGCAUGCAGAUCUCAGAAGCAAGUCCUCCUUAGUGAGAG
rnacentral:lncRNA from 1 species